UUUCCGUAGGUGAACCUGCGGAAGGAUCAUUAAUGAGUUGUCAUGGGGUUCGAUGCUGGUAGCCAGUUUUUGGAUGCAUGUGCUUGCCCUAACAAUCAUCUUCUUCCAAACACCUGUGCACAUUUUUGAGGGAGUCUUGAGUUGGUUGCCGCUCUUGGGUGAUUUUCUCACAUUCCCUUAAAUCAUUAUACGCUAUUAACAAUGUUGAACGUGCUCUGUGCCGCAAGGCCAUUAAUAUAAUACAACUUUUAACAACGGAUCUCUUGGCUCUC
rnacentral:misc_RNA from 1 species